GGCCGCGCAUGCCCGCGGGGCAGGUGCGCGGGAGCGGGAGCUUGUGUGGUGCGGGGUACCGCUGUCCGCGGACCGAGCGCGUUUCCUACUUGCUUUCUGGGUUCUUUUUUUUCCCUUUUUUUCCCUUUUUUUUUUUUCCCCUCUGCCUUCCCCCCUCCGCCUCCCCACUCCUCAUUUUAUCCCUGUUUCCCCGUCAUAUCGCAGGCUUUCAGCUGGAUCUCUCCUCUUUAAAAUGCUUUCUUCGAUGUCACCCAUUUUUUCCCCUUUGCAGUAGCUUAUCGGAAGGUGCGCUGCAUUAAGCUAAAUCCGCGCCUGGUAUUACAUCAUGUGCCCUCAACCGAGUGUGGGAGAUGAUGGUCACCUGAAACCAAAGCACUGGCUUCUUACACAUUGUUUUGGGAAUCAAACACUGAAUAAACUCAGGAAUACUGAAAUCAAGUACCAUGGCUUCAGGUAGAGGAAGGACACAUUUUCCAGCAAGGAAACGAAUGCAGCAUUAGAAACAUCUCUUACCACUGUAUACAGCCUGAAAUCAAAGUUGAAUGUGCAUACGUUUUUGGUUGUUGUUUUUUUUUUUUUAUCACAGGACAAGAUUUUAAAUAAUAUUAGUAAAGAAAGAUCUGUAACUGUACUGCCAUAAGCACAUUAAGGCAGUGCACAGUACAUCUCAGAAAAGGCCUAAGGCUCAGAUGUCUAUCUCUAUGUUCUUGUAUUCCCAACAAGCAGUGAAUAAUGCAUUAGUUUUGCUUCAAGCAUCCUAUUUUGAAUAUGCUUUGGC